rnacentral:tRNA from 13 species
GCGGGCGUAGCAUAGUGGUAAUGCACUAGCCUUCCAAGCUAGCUAGGAGGGUUCGAUUCCCUUCGCCCGCUCCA